AGAUAAUUCGGUUCGAUUUAAUUUUCAUCCUCACCAAAUUUCAAAUUUUCAGUUCAAUUCCAUUUGGCGGAAAAAACUAAACCGAAAAAUCUAUUCAUCAGAACCCAUAUCUAACCUGGGGUCGACUUCUCCAAAUAGCACAGACACAUACAGAGAGAGAAUCCGACAGAAAUUGGAAAGAUGUCGGUGAUGCAGAAGCUGAAGAUGUUCGUGGUGCAAGAGCCUGUUGUGGCGGCUUCUUGCCUCAUCGCCGGCGUUGGACUCUUCCUUCCAGCUGUGGUUAGGCCUAUACUGGACUCCUACGGCACAUCCAAUCAAGGGCCCAAGACUUGUAUGAGUGAUAUAGUUGCUACUAUGAUUGAGAAGAAGAGAUAAAUGUCAGAUUCGGAUGUCAUUCUGGAGCUUCAUGAGAAAAAAAUUAACCCAAAUCUGUAUGCUCCAUAAAUGUUAGUACUAUUUUUACAAUUAUUACAUUCUACAUUGUAAAAGCACGAGAAGACUUCUAUGCAAAAUUUCAAGGUUUCAGUCACAUAAUUGGUUGUAUGAUCUUUUUUUUUUUAAUUUUAUUUUCAUUAAAAAUCUGUUGUUCUUGCUGCCAACUGACUUUGUUCUGUAUGAAAUCUUGUGUUGCUUUUUAAUGUAAAAUCAUACUCCAUAUUGCUUA